GGACAAGAUCAUUCAUUCAAAGAGUCUUGUGGGCUGAAGCCCUGAAAGGCUGAAUGGUGUGUCGCUCGCACGACAAAACGUAAACAGCUAGCUCACUGUAUGUUCGUUCACCACGUUCACAUCAGUUCACAGAGCAGCGCAGUUUGCUAAUGAUGACCUCUGAAAAAAGCCGCUUGGAAUACGGCUAUUUGCACUUUUAGCCACUCGGUCUUAUUUUGUAGGAGUAGAUCUACGCUCCGUCGCUGAUAACAGAAAGGCGCGGCACAGUACAGCAGUUAGACAGGCACAGUCUCUCUCUCAGUUGCGUGGCUCACGAGAAAGGAAUUGGGGAAAGCUCCGUAUUUUCAGUGUACAACAGACUGGAACAGCUGUCACAGCUCGGACGUCUCCGGCUUUCCGAGUAUUGUACUCGCACUGUUCCUACGCUCCAGCUGCGCUCUUUCACCUGUAGUAGCCAGAGUUGGAUCAAGAGUAAAGGCGAAAAGGAAACGCUCACGCGGCAUCAAGCUCAUUCAUAUCCAUAUCACGUCUACGCCAUCGCUAGCGCUCAUGCAGCCCUUUCGCCCGGUGUCACUUGCAGCUCUGGUCCUUUUAGGAUUGGCUGUGAGCAGUUGCACUGCUACGCCAUGUGGUCCUCUCGUUUGCCCGCCCCAUGGUGAGCCAGAUAAGGCGUCAUGCUGCACGAAGCCUUCUUCUCGUUCAUUCUACUGCUGCAACAGCAAGGCUGUCAUCCUAUCCUGGAUGGGCAGAGUGGUGUUGAAGGCAUCUCUGGUCGUGCUGGCGUUGCUGGUGCUGGGUGUGGUCGGCUACUUUGUCGGUGUUAUGCUGCACUGCAGACGCUGUGUCAAGACACUGCACAAGUGGAUACGACCGGGCUGAGGAUGGGCAGCGCAUGUGCGGGGAGUCGCUCGCGCACAUUUGCACACCGUUAUCCCGAGUCGAUCACGAAUUACGGAGCCAUGAUGCAACCGUGUCAAUGACAACGGUGUCCCUGUGCUGGAUUGCCGCGGCUCGUGUCCCAACUCGCCGACAUAAGCUGCUAUGGCAGAUAGUGUACACGUGUGCCACCACGGCCAGCGGUGUCUUGCUGCACAAGCACACAAGUCUGAAAGCAUCGGAGGAUCAAGUGUGCCGUUGCUACGCUUGUCACGUGACCAGAGGUCAUGCGACUAUGAUCACAUGACAUGACCAGAUCAUGUGACCUAUGUCAGCUGAGUCUUGCCACUACAGUACCAUGAUGACGGUUGGCAAGAGCCGACCGACGUUCAACACUGCGUAACGGACGGAUAUGGUAUGACGUGAGUUAGCGGUGCAUGAGGAAAUGCAGGCCGUAACAAGUAGCACGUGAUCUGGAUGGUGUAACUUUUUUAAAAUUAUUUUUUAUUUUUUUACUAAAAGCCAUGUGGUGCACGCAAUGGUAACAUGCAGCAGCCAUGGUGAUGGGGGCCAGGCGCUCCGUCGACCCUGGUCUCGACAUCGUCACGCUCUAGACGCACCAGAUACUGUACUUUGUCUGGUGGAGUAUGAACACGUGGUGCAUCUGCUGGACAACAAAUGUCUUGCUAAAAUUAGUCCCCAGCACUAGUGUACUGGGCCACAGGGUGACUCGUUGCCGCGGUGACAGGCCGCAGACUGUGUAACGCGUACAGAUGCUACGCUGCCACUAUAUGCUCAUCAGGCCGUUCGUAUACAUUUGUGUGUUCGUGCUGGUGAGAUUUUACGGGUUGCUGUCUUGCGCCCUGUGCGAGCGGUACAUCACGUGCUGCUGCUUUCGCAUGCCGUCGAGCCUAACAGUGUUCGGUGCGCUUGGUGCUGUCGACUAACAGUCGGCAAUGUUAUUCUGCACUGACACCACUCUACAGGUCUCAGUAUAUUGAGGACACACCGAUGAAAUGCAUGAGAAACAGAAUACACGAACGCAAAAAGGUGCAUCGGACGUUGUUGCUGCAGCCGCUGCGUUGUUGUUGUUGUGGUUAUUGUUUUUGCUGUUGUUGGUGGUGGUGGUGUCGUCCUGCUACUGCUGUUCUUGCCAUUAUUUGUAUCGCUGUUACACAAUCAAUCAUGUACAACACUAUAUACAUUGUGCUAGUGUA